UCCCUGGUGGUCCAGUGGUGAGGACUCUGAGCUUUCACUGCUGAGGGCCAGGGUUCAAUCCCUGGUCGGGAA
rnacentral:tRNA from 1 species